UAGCCUAAGGUAAAAACUUUAAAUGUCGAACAUGAGCUGCCAUCACUUUGUUUUGUUUUUUAAUCUACAAAAUCAAUGUCAUUUCAGAAGUUGUCCACAGUUUGGCAUAAUGAUGUUGGUGCAAUAUUAAAGCUCGCACUGUAUGUGUGUUGGCCUGCAAACAUUUGUGCACUGGGAUAUUUAUUAGACUGUUAUAAUCUAUGUUAAUCUGGAUGAAGAAUUUAUUUGUAAUGGCUGCAGUUCUCGGCAUAUAACUGUUAAAUUAAUUAGAGCUUAUUAAGUGCCGGUUUCAGAUAAGCAGACUGAAAUACAGUGUUGGAUGAUAGCCCAUCUUAGGAAAUAUUAGUCUGAUGCUGACUUGUCAAUCAGAAUCAAGCGUUCUAGUACAGUAAGUGAUACAUAUUACAUACAGUCAUCGUUGGCUAAUACUGUAGCACAGGCUCCUCCCAGCAGUCAGAACAAAUGACUUGAAUUUAUUGCUGCUUUAACAGAUGCAGAAAGAGGAUCACAACAUCUUUGCAUACAGGCUAUAGUUGGUCAUUUCAAUUGUGGAUAAUGGCACUCUGGGGAAGUGCCAUUGUGAUCAUAUUUUUAUAUAUCUGGGGAUGUAAUUCUCAAGACAAAGUUGAUCAGUAUACAAAGAUUCAAUCUGCUGUUGAAGGUGAUGAUGUAACAAUCAACUGUACAUAUCAGACUGGUUACUCAAACCCGACUCUCUUCUGGUACCAGCAGAAAGUAGAUGAAAUCCCCAAGUUCAUGCUAAAUAAAUUCUCUACAACCGGACAGAAUGAAGAUGAAUUUAAGGAGAGAUUUCAAGCAAAUCUCAGCAAAACAUCAGUUCCUCUGACAAUCCAGGAUGUGAGUGUGUCUGACUCUGCUGUGUAUUACUGUGCUCUGCAGCCCACUGUGACUCAAACACACUCAACACUCAUACAAAAACCCUCACAGUGCAACGCAACGGCAUAA